GCUUCCUUCGGGAAGUGGAUUAGCGGCGGACGGGUGAGUAACACGUGGGUAACCUGCCUCAAAGUGGGGGAUAGCCUUCCGAAAGGAAGAUUAAUACCGCAUAACAUAAGAGAAUCGCAUGAUUUUUUUAUCAAAGAUUUAUUGCUUUGAGAUGGACCCGCGGCGCAUUAGCUAGUUGGUAAGGUAACGGCUUACCAAGGCAACGAUGCGUAGCCGACCUGAGAGGGUGAUCGGCCACAUUGGAACUGAGACACGGUCCAGACUCCUACGGGAGGCAGCAGUGGGGAAUAUUGCGCAAUGGGGGAAACCCUGACGCAGCAACGCCGCGUGGGUGAUGAAGGUCUUCGGAUUGUAAAGCCCUGUUUUCUGGGACGAUAAUGACGGUACCAGAGGAGGAAGCCACGGCUAACUACGUGCCAGCAGCCGCGGUAAUACGUAGGUGGCGAGCGUUGUCCGGAUUUACUGGGCGUAAAGGGUGCGUAGGCGGAUGUUUAAGUGGGAUGUGAAAUCCCCGGGCUUAACCUGGGGGCUGCAUUCCAAACUGGAUAUCUAGAGUGCAGGAGAGGAAAGCGGAAUUCCUAGUGUAGCGGUGAAAUGCGUAGAGAUUAGGAAGAACACCAGUGGCGAAGGCGGCUUUCUGGACUGUAACUGACGCUGAGGCACGAAAGCGUGGGUAGCAAACAGGAUUAGAUACCCUGGUAGUCCACGCCGUAAACGAUGGAUACUAGGUGUA
rnacentral:rRNA from 1 species